rnacentral:lncRNA from 1 species
AUGGGGUGGUUGGAAAGAGUGGUCAUGCAGGUAGGAUGGGGGGACUGUGGGACUGAAUGGGGUGGUUGGGAAGAGUGGUCAUGCAGGUAGGAUGGGGGGACCGUGAGAUUGAAUGGGGUGGUUGGAAAGAGUGGUCAUGCAGGUAGGAUGGGGGGACCGUGGGACUGAAUGGGGUGGUUGGAAAGAGUGGUCGUGCGGGUAGGAUGGGGGGACCGUGAGAUUGAAUGGGGUGGUUGGAAAGAGUGGUCAUGCAGGUAGGAUGGGGGGACUGUGGGACUGAAUGGGGUGGUUGGAAAGAGUGGUCAUGCAGGUAGGAUGGGGGGACCGUGGGACUGAAUGGGGUGGUUGGAAAGAGUGGUCAUGCAGGUAGGAUGGGGGGACCGUGAGAUUGAAUGGGGUGGUUGGAAAGAGUGGUCAUGCAGGUAGGAUGGGGGGACCGUGGGACUGAAUGGGGUGGUUGGAAAGAGUGGUCGUGCGGGUAGGAUGGGGGGACCGUGAGAUUGAAUGGGGUGGUUGGAAAGAGUGGUCGUGCGGGUAGGAUGGGGGGACCGUGAGAUUGAAUGGGGUGGUUGGAAAGAGUGGUCGUGCGGGUAGGAUGAGGGGACCGUGGGAUUGCAUGGGGUGGUUGGAAAGACUGGUCGUGCAGGUAGGAUGGGGGGACCGUGAGAUUGAAUGGCGUGGUUGGAAAGAGUGGUCAUGCUUGAAGAUUAGAGUGGUUACUGUAUGUACCAUGGACAGCACCCACUUCGAAAAGAUCAGCCUGUAAUUUAGGAAGAUUUACCGUGCUGAGAUCAAAUUUGUUUUGGCAUAAUACAUUUAUGUUGCAGCCACACCGGCUUUUGCGUGUUAAUCUCUGAGGUUCAGGGAAAGAUUAAACCUUCCCAUAGGAUGUAACAGCUGCAAGUGUCUUUUUUUUUUUUUUUUUUUUUUUUUUUUUUUUUAAGACAGAGUCUCGCUUUGUCGCCCAGCCUGGAGUGCAGUGGGACAAUCUCGGCUCACUGUAAGCUUCGCCUUCCGGGUUCACGCCAUUCUCCUGCCUCAGCCUCCCGAGUAGCUGGGACUACAGGUGCCAGCCACCACGCCCGGCUAAUUUGUUGUAUUUUUAGUAGAGACAGUUUCACCGUGUUAGCCAGGAUGGUCUUGAUCUCCUGACCUCGUGAUCUGUCCAUCUCGGCCUCCUAAAGUGCUGGGAUUACAGACGUGAACCACCACACCCAGCAGCAAGUGUCUUUAUAACAGUAUACAAACACACAUAUAUUGUCUUACAUCUUCGUUUACAACCACGGAUCUCUGUUAGCUAAUUUUUAUUUAUUUUUCUGUCCAAGUAGCACGAGUGUGUUAUUUAGAAAUAUGGGCACAAAAAACGAUAGAAACUACCCAGAAGUUAAAGUACUUUCCUUAAUUUCUAAUGUGAGGGGGCAGGAGAAAGGGGUGUGUGGAUGAGUGGAAAAGACCAUGACUCUGUAAUCAUGUGACUUCAGCUAUACUUUAAAAUCUGUCUCUGCAUACAGUGUAGAUAAAAAUCAAUAAACAAAAUGUAGUAAAGUAACAGCAAGCAAGAGAGAAACAGAGAAUUAUGCUCUGUUUAUAAAGUGUAUGAAAUGAGUAAUUUUGGGCACAUGGAAGACAGGUCAUAUGUGGGCUCAGAAACAGCUGCUGGUGACAUAAAUAUAAACCUGUCAGUUGGUUCCUGACCUUAAGGAAAUUAACAUUUAAGAAAACUGAAGAAAACAUUUCUGCUUUCAUCUAUAUUAUCAUAGCUUGUAUUAUUCACUCAUUAAAGUCAACGAAAAAUAGCUGAAUAAACUGCACAAGAGCUCAAACUGCUUGAAGUCAUUGGAAAGCAAUCAAUACACAUAGGAAUUGAGGAGAAACAACCCUGAAGAAAAGGAAAUUACAAAGAACUGAGCCUGAAAUUCUGCCUGGAAUUUCCUCUCUGAGCACUUGUUAAAUUCUAAACUGAUAAGGGGUGAGAAGCCUAGAAAUCAAAAGAAAAUAGCUUCUAAGAGGCUCAACCCCAAGCAGAGCUGAACAGACAAACACUCUGGUACGUAUCACAGGUUUCCAAGAGAAAAAUCUUAAAGAGCCCCACUUCAAGAGUAGACAGUGACAUUAAAAAUGAAGCAGCUAUCACAAAGUCACUUCAGUCUCUGCUUGCAUCAAAGCGAGCUUUUGUCAUUGUAACUAUGGGCCAGAAUAAAAUAAAGUCUGAUGUGGAAAAAGAAAACAAGACAGAUCAUUUACUAUUUUUAAUGCCUAAUGUGCCAUCUUCAAUAAAAACCACUUAAUGUCUAAGAAGCAGACCGGUAGGUAAACCAGAUACUAUCAGUCUCAAAUUCUAAACUAGGAUCAAUAUGUUUAAUAAAUUAGA